GUGGUGACAGAGGUGACAAUGGGGGAUGGUGAUUAUGGGUGACAAUGGGGAUGGUGACAAUGGGGUGGUGACAAUGGGGGGGUGACAACAGGGGGGUGGUGACAGUGGGACGUGGUGACAGAUGUGACAAUGGGGAUGGCGACCAUGGGUGGCAAUGGGGAUGGGGACAAUGGGAUGGCGACCAUGGGGUGGUAUCAAUGGGGACGGGGACAAUGGGGACAGCGACAAUGGGGGGGUUGGCGACAAUGGGGGGGUGGCGACAAUGGGGGGUGGUGACAGUGGGGGGUGGUGACAGUGGGACGUGGUGACAGUGGGACGUGGUGACAGAGGUGACAAUGGGGGAUGGUGAUUAUGGGUGACAAUGGGGAUGGUGACAACGGGGGGGUGACAACGGGGGGGUGGUGACAGUGGGAUGUGGUGACAGAUGUGAUAAUGGGGAGUGGUGACAAUGGGUGACAAUGGGGAUGGUGACAAUGGGAUGGUGACAAUGGGUGACAAUGGGGAUGGGGACAAUGGGGACAGCGACAAUGGGGGGUGGUGACAGUGGGAUGUGGUGACAGAGGUGACAAUGGGGGAUGGUGAUUAUGGGUGACAAUGGGGAUGGUGACAAUGGGGUGGUGACAAUGGGGGGGUGACAACGGGGGGGUGGUGACAGUGGGACAUGGUGACAGAUGUGACAAUGGGGAGUGGUGACAAUGGGUGACAAUGGGGAUGGUGACAAUGGGAUGGCGACCAUGGGGUGGUAUCAAUGGGGACGGGGACAAUGGGGACAGCGACAAUGGGGGGGUGGCGACAAUGGGGGGUUGGUGACAAUGGGGGGUGGUGACAGUGGGGGCUGGUGACAGUGGGACGUGGUGACAGUGGGAUGUGGUGACAGAGGUGACAAUGGGGGAUGGUGAUUAUGGGUGACAAUGGAGAUGGUGACAAUGGGGUGGUGACAAUGGGGUGGUGACAACGGGGGGGUGACAACAGGGGGGUGGUGACAGUGGGAUGUGGUGACAGAUGUGACAAUGGGGAUGGCAACCAUGGGUGACAAUGGGGAUGGGGACAAUGGGAUGGCGACCAUGGGUGACAAUGGGGACGGGGACAAUGGGGACAGCGACAAUGGGGGGUGGUGACAGUGGGAUGUGGUGACAGAGGUGACAAUGGGGUGGUGACAAUGGGGGGGUGGCAACAGUGGGAUCUGGUGACAGAGGUGACAAUGGGGGGGAUGGUGAUUAUGGGUGACAGUGGGGAUGGUGACAAUGGGGUGGUGACAACGGGGGGGUGACAACGGGGGGGUGGUGACAGUGGGAUGUGGUGACAGAUGUGACAAUGGGGAGUGGUGACAAUGGGUGACAAUGGGGAUGGUGACAAUGGGAUGGCGACCAUGGGGUGGUAUCAAUGGGGACGGGGACAAUGGGGACAGCGACAAUGGGGGGGUGGCGACAAUGGGGGGUGGCGACAGUGGGGGGUGGUGACAGUGGGACGUGGUGACAGAGGUGACAAUGGGGGGGAUGGUGAUUAUGGGUGACAAUGGGGAUGGUGACAAUGGGGUGGUGACAAUGGGGGGGUGACAACGGGGGGGUGGUGACAGUGGGAUGUGGUGACAGAUGUGACAAUGGGGAUGGCGACCAUGGGUGACAAUGGGGACGGGGACAAUGGGGACAGCGACAAUGGGGGGUGGUGACAAUGGGGGGUGGUGACAGUGGGAUGUGGUGACAGAG
rnacentral:lncRNA from 1 species